ensembl:lncRNA
AUAUAUAUAUAUAUAUAUAUAUACAUAUAUAUAUAUAAUGUUCGUUUUAGAUAUUAGAGGUGUCCUGAACAAUGGUAGAGCUUCAGGGAAACCACUUUAUUUUGAAGUUCAGGCUGCUUUGACUUCCUUCUGGCUACCCUGCUCUGACUUUCCUCAUCUCACUUUCUCGUGUUCUGCACAACACAUACAUCACUGAGGUCUCCAGUCUCCCCAGUAACGAAUAGAAAAAAGGGCAAGCCUACUUCACCAAACAGGCGUCAACACCUCACAUCUGAGCCACUAUUACGUAAGUCUUCCCGUUACCUUAUUUAUAGGGAUGUAAAUGAAGAAGCCACUGACAGCUCACUUUACAUGCUUUGCUUAUGCAUUUUUAAGUGCGUCAGAUAUACCACAGGAAUGAUUGUCUAUUCGCAGAAUAAUAAGAGCAUUCAUCUGUGAAAUAUCUUUGCUGAAAUGCCCACAUGCCCUCUUGCCCUCUCCCGCACACACUGAGUCGUCUGCAGACGGUGCGGUUAAUGUUUACCGAUGGACUAUACUUAUUUUCUAAAUAUUUGUCUGGUGAAGACAACCAAGAAUGUCAGCUAUCCAAAAGAUUAUAAGGAACCUGUGGUUCACUGACAGAAGCCACAAAUACUUUCAGUACACAAACCAACGAAAUUCUACAGCACAGCAUCCCCGAGUGGAAAGAGGGUCAGCGGCUCCGCAGGCCGGCUGCUGAGGUCAACCACUCAUCCUUGAGCGGGCUCACUUAGUUGGAACUGUUCAGGAGCAGGAGAAUCAUUUUUGGUUGGCGACAGAUACUCUUACAUGGAAGCCUUUAAGAGGGUUCUACUUAGAACCAUUUAGUAGAGGUACAAAAAGCCCCUCUGGUUAAAAGAGGAACCCACUGGAGGUCGUAUCCACCUUCCAAGGGUGCAAACUAGAACACACCGAAGACUGAAGAAGAAUUGCUUUAGGACCCAUACAUCAAUGGGGUUGUAUUGAGCACCAACUUAUAUUUGAAGGGUUUAGAGCCCGUCGGGGUUCAUCACAGACCCUUUUAUAUGUUGUCAAUAGAACCCUCUGGGUGGAUCCAAUUGCGGAAUUUGGUGCCCGCAGCGCAACUCACAACGGACAUGGUUCACAACCACAGUGUUUAAGAGCGUGAAGUGGGAGGAUCCUUUAACAUCAACAAUCUUUGACAGACUCUUACUCCCCAAAAGAGUUCUUUGGACAAUGUAACUCAUUGUCUCACAAAGAAACCUCUGAAAAGGUUUAGUGCGGAACCUUAAACUAGGAACUUAUUUGCGGGAGUGUGAUUCAGCAGGGAGACUAUUGAUAGUCUGUCUGUGUGUGUGUGUGUGUGUGUGUGUGUAACAGUAAAAGAAAAGAACAAUGGGGGUAGGAGGGAAUACAUGGAUGGCAGAGGAUGCAAGAAUUCAAAGGUCUGGAUUCCUUUGUGACGUAUCGUAUCCAAACAGUGCUAUUGUUCCAGUAGGACAUUGACAUUGAACACUCCCUUCCCAAUACACACACCUAUUAACAAACACGCUACAGGGCCCUCUGUGAUCGGGACGAAUUAUAUACCUUGUCUGACCUGCGCUUCGCUGCAAUACCCUACAUGGAACACAAAACCAAUACCACCACAUACAAGACAAGUACAAGCACUUUGUUAUAUUUUGCGCUAUUACGUAAUGUAAUAUAAUAAUGUUUGCGACUCGUGAGUCAUUUAUUUUGUUCCUUUUGUCUGUGACAUUACAUUACAUGUCAUUUAGCUGUCGCUUUUAUCCAAAGCAACUUACAAUAAGGGCAUUUCAACCAUGAGGAUACAAAGUCAGAAGAACAAGAAACAAGAGCAAGUGCAAUUUCAUCAAAUAAUCCGAUCUACAACUUGCUAUAGAUAAGAGCCAUUACAAGUACAAUUUUAAGUGCUACAAUUUGUUUUUAAGAAAUGUUUUUAGUCAAGAUAGAGUCUGAAGAGGUGUGUCUUUAGUUUGCGGCGGAAGAUGUGAAGUCUCUCUGCGGUCCUGUGACAACUUUAGCAGCCAUGAUAGAUUAAUUCUGUCCAGUUUCUGAACAUUUUUCUUUUAUGCAAAGGGAUAAAAUUGAACGUCUUGGGAAGUCAAGUUCCCUGCUGCAUCGAGAUCCAUUUACUCCCUGCUGCUACUGCAUAAUAGACAUGCAACGUGUAUUUCUUUGCGGUUUUCCGGUACCUCCCCUCCGGGGCUGAACAAGUCCUCACACGCACAUCUGCGGCCCCCCGUCUGACCACGUCAAAGACACUGUGCUGUUUAGAUGCCUCUGCAGAUGGGAGUCUUCUUACUGUGCCUUUUCUGUUUUUUUAAAACCACAAGCAACCAGUGAUAUUCACAUGGCAGACCCCCACCUGGAACUACUUGGCACUGGUGUGUGGGAGAAGCAGUAAAUAGCUUUUCUCCACGUACUUCCAUCGGGUAAAGCUAUGGAUGAGUUGUGCAGUGAAAGGUUACAGGCAACAGGUAUCAAGGAUGUGAAGCGCAGCUCGAGUCGGACUUCGGGCGACGCCACUGGCAGCUCUCGCUCACAAACCGCCACGGCCCCCAUAGCGGGGAUGACAAAAUAAAAGGCCCUGCGACCGACGUGAGAAGAGGAAAACAGCAACAGCUGGCGGCUUCUAGCUUGGGGACGAGAAGUAAAGGGAGUAGAGGGGAAAACAGCGAGAUGUCAUCAGUGGAAGAGUUUACGACAUCGAGGGUGUGAUAACAUGGAAAUAUAAAGAAGCGGAGCUCAUGGUUUGGUGGGUUGGAAGCAGGGUUACUGCCGCUUGUAACUUUGGCCUAUAAUAACAGCCUCUAGUUGUAAUUACCCAUUAAAACGUUGGCUGCAGAGGACUUUACUAUGCCACUGUUGGUAGUUAAGUGAAUUCCACAGAUCUAUAUUUGCCAGCUUUUUUCCUACGUUCUGCCAGCCUAUGGAAGACCAGGUUGGGUUUGUUGGGAGGAUCAGAGGAAGAACAACAGACAAAAAAACAACCUGCAUCACAAAGAUGUAAAGGAGAAAUUAGUGAGAGGAAAAAGGGGCGAUGCAGAGUGAUGGGAAAGGAAUUCUAAAAUGGCACAUGAAUAAAAGCCACGAAAUACAUUUUUUUAAAGUCGGAGGGAGUUUCCAUCACUGGGAUGCGAUGAACAAAAAUGUCCCAAGUGCCCCACUGCCUUCCUGGACAACUCAGCCACCUUUGGCCCCUGCGUCAGUGUUGCUUUCCUCCCCCCGCUGAUCAGCAUCCUGUUUUGGGCAUUGUGUCUUUUUUAAGCGAGUGUCUGUACAGACAGUUCGCUCACGUUCAACAAUUCUGCUACUAAGAUGCUGAGUCUGGACGAACCGGUUUUAAACUUCACGCCCCUUCUCCGUGUUCCAAGAGCUUAAGACCCUUCCAGGGAAACACUCAAUCUCUGCUAUUCCCUAAACAAAUUCGACAAGUUACGUUAAACAGGAGCAACCGUUGGGCUCCAGGCAGAACAAGGUAUUCACUAAAUAAAUCAUAGGGUAUCAUUAAAGUUUGGACAGAAGCACCCGCGUCUGCUCACUGUCUCGGGGUCAGAACUGCGCACACAGCCAGACCCGACUCUAAGCUAGAAAAUGUGUUUCGUUAUAGUCGCCAGUCAAUAACGAUAACCAGCCAGCGCCCACUGCAAGUUUCCACAGAACAGCGUCCCAGGCCUCUCACCGUGCCAAGUUGGGUCAAUGGAGGUUCCCUCAGCUCGGACGUCGGAGGAGUUUAUAGGUAAAAGAGCACUAGACUCAGCUCCUCUGGCAGCGGUAUGAACACAAACUAAGCAGGGAAAGUUGGAGGAAAAUGGCAGGUUCAAGGAUGCAAUGACCACCUCGGGAGAAAAGACUACGAGGAAGAGAGGAUGAUUUACGAGGAAGCCGACCAAGAGGUCCUUUUAGGGGGGGUCUGACUCCAGCAGCAUGAGGAACUUUGCUCCCGAUGAGGCUGAAGUUCUCUAAAACCUCCCAACAGACUAAGAAUUCAUCUUUUGUUGACUGUAGUUCAGCAACAUGAUGAGGACAUUCCGUGCGUAGCCUCAAACUUGCCCCCGAGUGCUCCUUCGAACUGUGUGGAAUGAAGGACGCAAACUGCUCGAAAAACCUUGAAUGCUCGCCCCCCCAAUCCAAGAAGUACUCAAGUACCACUUGUUCAGAAAUCCACAUGAGAAAGGUCAGUGGCGGUGACUCAUCGCUGUCAGAGUUCUCUCAUCCAGCCAGUGGGAAGGCUGCAUGUGACAGGCGUUUCUCUCACACACACAAGAACACGCACACACACACACACACACACCCCUGUGUGUUUGUGUGUAUUCAGAUCACAAGGACUCUAAUAAAUCCUUUGGCCUCUAUAUGCCUUGUUCUCUCUGAUCACACGUUUGCUCUAUUCAUUAAAGUUAAAGUUUUUAACACAUCGGCGUCCUUUGUCUUUCUCGCCAUCUUCCCCUCCUUCCUCUGGAGCGUUUGGCCUCAGCGGACUGCAGCUGGACUCUCCGUUCUCUCUCCUCCCUUUGUUGUUCCUCGACCUUCGCAUUGCUCCUCGGUCCGCACACUCCCUCCUCAACAGUCCCAGCUGCCUUCCACCCUUAGUAACACUAAACAAACACACACACACACGCACACACAAGCCCUCACAUGUGCACAGACGGUGGUGUGCGGGGUGAGUGCGCACACGCACACAAAAGGCAGCUGAAGUCACUUUUGUGGUAUGUAUGAAGGUUUAAAGACUUGAGGAUGCGUUACAAGUGCGUCCGCAGUGGAAUCUGUCAGGGCAGGUUGCGUUGGAGGGGGGUGCGAGGUGGUGGGGGGGGCAAACAACCUAUCAAAGCUUACGCCUCGCCUGUAUCUCUGAAGGGAGGGCACUGAUUUAUUUAUUUUAUUUUUAUAACAAAAGAAGGUUCAUGUAUGGAUCAAACGUCACUAUUAGAGCCUCGCCCCUUGCGCUGCACACCUAUCAGAGGGGUCCGAACUCCUCCCUCCACAGGUGUGGUGACCCCCCCCCCCCGCAUCCCCGCCGCCCUCUGAUGUCAGAAGGCUGACAACCCCUCCGCUCUGCUUGUUAACACCAUCGCCUGUCAUCCGCAUCCGCUGCCUCCACACUUUAGUUUGCGCGUUUCACUUCCUGGUCCAUUGCGGCCUUUGUGUUUCCCACUUCCUGCUCUCUGUCGAUAACGUUUGAGCGUGCGCACGCAGACGGUCCAAAGUGCCCCUCGGGGGUCCCGGUGUCCCACUCUCUCUCUCUCUCUCUCUCUCUCUCUCGGUCUCCCUCCGACGCCCCCUCCGGUCAGGUGUCAAGGUGACGGGGAGGAGAAGAACCAUCACAUUGUCUGGUAGUGAUAGGGCGUAGCUGGGGG